rnacentral:lncRNA from 1 species
GUGACGGAGAAUCUGAAAAGUUUUGCAAAAUUUUUUGGGAACUAAACAAGGCCUAAAGAAGGCCUAUUUCCUUUUUUUUUGGGUUCAGAGCACUGUAGCACUUUCAUUUUUUUAGCAAAUAUUAUCCAAUUAUGGACUAAGUAAGCUCAAAAGAUUCAUAUCGUGAUUUACAGACAAAUUGUGUAAUUAGUUUUUAUUUUUGACUAUAUUUAAUGCUUUAUGUAUAUGUUGCAAGAUUCGAUGUGACAGUCUUAAAAGAAUUUUAACUAAACAAGUCGAGGAGAGCAAAAAGGGUUAUCCCCGUCACGGCGCCCUGCAUAGGCAUUGGACGUUGGAACGCAUCCUUGCCUCGUGGCUGUCCAGCCACCGGUGUUGGCGCAACUGCCGCUCCAAAACCCACGUACCUGUACUUGUGCCCCUCCGCCCGCCAGGCCGCCACCGGUCCAAAACCAACGAUGCAACAAGAGCUUUUUUUUUUAAAGGCGGUAAAAGCUUUAUCGGAUUUUUAUUAGACGAAGAGCUUCUCUAACCAAAACUCGGUAUGAGUUCCUGCGCCUGCCCUCGGCGGGACUAGAGACGCUCGCGAUAGCAACGCCGCCCCGCCGUUUCGUCGGUGGAGCGAGCGACCGACCAGCUGGGAAAUUGUUAUUGUCACGUACAACUACGUCGCCAUCGUCCUUGCCACUG